UUUUAUGGAUAAGCAAAAAAAGUAGUUUUUGAGAUGGAACCUACUCCUAGUGAAGGUGCUGUGAA
rnacentral:pre_miRNA from 1 species